rnacentral:rRNA from 11 species
UCGUAACAAGGUCUCCGUUGGUGAACCAGCGGAGGGAUCAUUAC